GGGCCCGCACAAGCGGUGGAGCAUGUGGUUUAAUUCGAAGAUACGCGCAGAACCUUACCAACACUUGACAUGUUCGUCGCGACUCUAAGAGAUUAGAGUUUUCGGUUCGGCCGGACGAAACACAGGUGCUGCAUGGCUGUCGUCAGCUCGUGUCGUGAGAUGUUGGGUUAAGUCCCGCAACGAGCGCAACCCUCACUUUUAGUUGCCAUCAUUAAGUUGGGCACUCUGAAAGAACUGCCAGUGAUAAGCUGGAGGAAGGUGGGGAUGACGUCAAGUCCUCAUGGCCCUUACGUGUUGGGCUACACACGUGCUACAAUGGUAUCUACAACAGGAAGCAAGACGGCGACGUUAAGCAAAUCCUCAAAAGAUACCUCAGUUCGGAUUGCACUCUGCAACUCGAGUGCAUGAAGCUGGAAUUACUAGUAAUCG
rnacentral:rRNA from 1 species